UNCCUGGUUGAUCCUGCCAGUAGCAUAUGC
rnacentral:piRNA from 1 species